rfam:Triticum urartu cultivar G1812 contig1062349, whole genome shotgun sequence.
UAGGUACUCCCUCCGUCCGACAAAAUGGAUAAAAAAGGAUGUAUCUAGAACUAAUAUACAUCUAGAUACAUCCCCUUUUAUUCAUUUUGAUGACAAGUAUUUCCGGACGGAGGGAGUAGGAG